rnacentral:rRNA from 1 species
AUAUUAAUCAAAAAAAUAACAGCUUGUUUGUGUUGCUUAUAUUAGGUUAUGCUACGUAAGUAUUCAUGCAUGUAUGCCUUUUUUAGGGUAAUUUAUAAUAUAUAUAAAAAUAUACUUUUUGUGGACAUUGGGGGGUCGUGAAGACUCUAUCAGUGAGUAUUUGUUCUCGGAAGGACUAGAUAUGUAUAUUGAAUAAUCGGACAUAGUACGAUAAGGUUGUAUGUCUAAAGGGAAAUAGCCCAGAACAAGAGUUAAUAAGGUUCCAAAAUUUUUGUUAAGUGAAAUUAAGGCAGUAUUUAUCCCAAUCGGCCAGGGAAUAGGCUUAGAAGCGGCCAUUUUUUGAAGACCUCGUAACAGAGCACUGGUUUUUUAUUUUAUGGAUAAAAGCACCGAAAAUUUAACGGAUCUAAACAAAAUACCGAUACCUUGUCCAUAUAUAUUAAUGUGUAUAUUAUAUAUUGUAUAUGUGGGGUAGCGGAACAUUGGGUAGCCAUUUUUAAUCCUUUAUAAGGAUUAAUUCGCCUAGAGUUUAAGUUGUUAUUCUCUGGACUAAAUAAGCCCAAGUGAUAAUGCUGACAUGAGUAACGAUAAAGGAUCAAUAGUACAUAAAAGGUCGAAGAAUCCUCGCCUAAAGCUUAUGGAAUUUAUUAAAGUUACGGCCUCUAAGUUUAUUUUUUUUUUUUAGCUUCCGAUUAUUUAUAUAUAGUAUAUAUUUAACAUCUACAUCUAAAUAG